GAUGAACGCUGGCGGCGUGCCUAAUACAUGCAAGUCGAGCGAACAGACGAGGAGCUUGCUCCUCUGACGUUAGCGGCGGACGGGUGAGUAACACGUGGAUAACCUACCUAUAAGACUGGGAUAACUUCGGGAAACCGGAGCUAAUACCGGAUAACAUGUUGAACCGCAUGGUUCAACAGUGAAAGACGGUCUUGCUGUCACUUAUAGAUGGAUCUGCGCCGCAUUAGCUAGUUGGUAAGGUAAAGGCUUACCAAGGCAACGAUGCGUAGCCGACCUGAGAGGGUGAUCGGCCACACUGGAACUGAGACACGGUCCAGACUCCUACGGGAGGCAGCAGUAGGGAAUCUUCCGCAAUGGGCGAAAGCCUGACGGAGCAACGCCGCGUGAGUGAAGAAGGUCUUCGGAUCGUAAAACUCUGUUAUUAGGGAAGAACAAAUGUGUAAGUAACUAUGCACGUCUUGACGGUACCUAAUCAGAAAGCCACGGCUAACUACGUG
rnacentral:rRNA from 1 species